rnacentral:rRNA from 1 species
AGCAUGUGGCUUAAUUUGACUCAACGCGGGAAAUCUUACCGGGUCCGGACACACUGAGGAUUGACAGGUAACGUUAUACACACAUAUAUUUACUCUCGGGUAUUUAUACUGCUGUGUAUAUAUAAAAUAUGCUAGUCCUUUCAUGAUUAUGUGAUAGGUGGUGCAUGGCCGUUCUUAGUUCGUGGAGUGAUCUGUCUGCUUAAUUGCGUUUCACUAAGGAUCUAUAUUCAUAUUACGCAUAGCAUUUUGACCCCUUUAUGCUUCGGUAUAAAGCUGCGCGUCAAACCUUGCUAUCUGCGUAUAUUAGAUCCUGAAAGCAACGAACGUGACCGCAACCUCUUGUUGCCUUUAACUAGGUUUUGCUUACGUAUAGCUUCGGCUUUACGCUUUGCAUCUAAAAAGGCUGAUUUUCUAAACUAGAGGGACCGCUGUUACUUUCUUAAACCAGAGGAAGGUUGCGGCAAUAACAGG